UAAAUAUAUGCUCGGGUCGGUUUACGAACACCGGUCGCCUCUCCUCCUCUCCUCUCUCUCAAGUCUCAACCUCAGUCAAAGGGCCGAACCAGAGUCCAUCUCUCUCGUUCAUGGCGGCGACGACCCAGGCAAGCCUUCUGCUUCAAAAGCAGCUCCGUGAUCUCAUGAAGAACCCGGUGGACGGGUUCUCUGCUGGCCUGGUUGAUGACAGCAACGUCUUCGAGUGGAACGUCACGAUUAUUGGGCCGCCGGAUACGCUUUAUGAUGGUGGCUAUUUCAAUGCCAUUAUGAGUUUUCCUUCCAACUACCCAAACAGCCCUCCUUCAGUUAGAUUUACAUCAGAGAUGUGGCAUCCAAAUGUCUACUCUGACGGGCGUGUUUGCAUAUCUAUCCUUCAUCCCCCUGGUGAUGAUCCAAAUGGUUACGAGCUUGCAAGUGAACGUUGGACACCUGUGCACACGGUAGAGAGCAUAGUUCUGAGUAUUAUUUCUAUGUUGUCAAGUCCCAACGAUGAAUCUCCUGCAAAUGUUGAAGCUGCUGUUUUUCUGUGGAAAUUUGUAGUAACUGGAUGAAAGUGGGCCUAAACCCAAGAUAUGAAGUGCAAUUUUGUCAAUAUCAAGUGAAGAUUAGAGAUUACAGUUAAAGAGUUCAUAGAAGUGAAAGUUCUUAGAAGGAAUGGAGGGAGAGUAGGGAUGAGUUCAAGAAGAAGGUCAGCCGCAUCGUCAGGCGAUCCCAGGAAAUGCUGUGAGCCCGAAAAGAGCGAAGCGCAGCGAGACAUAAGGCGGAGACUGGAUGCAGCAUGCUUGGUUUGUGCAGGUCGUGGUGUGGGGGAGAGAUGAGUUUCAGGUUUGCUGCUUUACCGAGGUGUUAUCACUUGCAGCCUCGGUGGAAUUCCCAGUCUGCUGUGGUCUCAAAAAGCUGUUAAUAAUGUCAUUUGGUGGGUUCUUAAUUAAUGUCAUUUCGUCUCUUCUGUGGAAUUUACGAGACAUCUCAUCCUUGAGAUAUCAGUGGAUUAGCAGUAAUAUUUCCUGAUAGCCUCAUCAAGUUCUUCCUGGGAUUCUUUACCCAGGACUGUUACUUUUGGUAGGUGGAAAUGCAGUUGAAUGAUUGAAGGUUUUA